CCUACGGGCGGCAGCAGUGAGGAAUAUUGGUCAAUGGGCGAGAGCCUGAACCAGCCAAGUCGCGUGAAGGAUGACGGCCCUACGGGUUGUAAACUUCUUUUGUCAGGGAGCAAUUGGGUCCAUGCGUGGGCUUAGCGAGAGUACCUGAAGAAAAAGCAUCGGCUAACUCCGUGCCAGCAGCCGCGGUAAUACGUAGGUGGCAAGCGUUGUCCGGAUUUACUGGGUGUAAAGGGAGCGUAGGCGGGAUGACAAGUCAGAAGUGAAAAUUAUGGGCUCAACUCAUAACCUGCUUUUGAAACUGAUAUUCUUGAGUGAAGGAGAGGCAAGCGGAAUUCCUAGUGUAGCGGUGAAAUGCGUAGAUAUUAGGAGGAACACCAGUGGCGAAGGCGGCUUGCUGGGCUUUUACUGACGCUGAGGCUCGAAAGCGUGGGGAGCAAACAGGAUUAGAUACCCUAGUAGUC
rnacentral:rRNA from 1 species